rnacentral:tRNA from 1 species
GCGCCUGUAGCUCAGCGGAUAGAGUGGGUGGCUUCGAACCACUAGGUCGCAGGUUCAAAUCCUGCCAGGCGCGCCA